GGGUCGGUGCCCGAGCGGUUAAUGGGGACGGAUUGUAAAUCCGUCGGCAAUGCCUACGCUGGUUCGAAUCCAGCCCGACCCA
rnacentral:tRNA from 1 species